rnacentral:rRNA from 1 species
CCUACGGGAGGCAGCAGUGAGGAAUAUUGGUCAAUGGGCGCGAGCCUGAACCAGCCAAGUCGCGUGAGGGAGGACGGCCCUAUGGGUUGUCAACCUCUUUUGCCGGGGAGCAACGGGCGUCACGUGUGGCGCCACUGAGAGUACCCGGAGAAAAAGCAUCGGCUAACUCCGUCCCAGCGUCCGCGGUAAUACGGAGGAUGCGAGCGUUAUCCGGAUUUAUUGGGUUUAAAGGGUGCGUAGGCGGAUCGUUAAUUCAGUGGUCAAAUUGAGGGGCUCAACCCCUUCCCGCCAUUGAAACUGGCGUUCUUGAGUGGAAGAGAAGUAUGCGGAAUGCGUGGUGUAGCGGUGAAAUGCAUAGAUAUCACGCAGAACCCCGAUUGCGAAGGCAGCAUGCCGGCUUCCGACUGACGCUGAAGCACGAAAGCGUGGGGAUCGAACAGGAUUAGAUACCCCAGUAGUC